GGUCUGACGAGGAAGGAAGGACCUGUCAGCAAACGAGCGUCAGGACCCAGGAAACAUGUACCAGCAGGAGCUGGGAGAGUGCAUGCAGAACCAGAUCCAGAGGACACUGGAUUUGGGGAGGCAGAACACAAAGGUUGAUCAGAAUUCUCUUCUGCACUCCCCUAAAAGGACGUUUGCAGUCUCAGUGACUCACCUUUGCUGCCGUGCUUCAGUGCCUGGCACAUAGUAAAAUCUCAACUAGUACCUGUGGAAUGAGUGUGGUGGUUUCUCCUGUUGUCUCACAAAAAAGCUAGGAAUAUAACAUUCAAUCAGAAUUCUGAUACAAUCUAUUCAGACACCUGGGCGUCAAAGAAUGGGGCUCUGCAGUGACUGACAGCUUGGAGAGGAAGUGCGCAAAGUCCAGAGAGAUGAGUCACAGCACACCCUCGAACCUCCAUCAAAUUAUCCAGGAGGCAAAGGAGAGAGGCAGCUGAUUCCCGCCACUGGGGCUGGGACUUGCUGUGCGGACUCUGCUCUGACUCUCGAUUCUCACGGCACAGGCUCCACGGGAGCAAGGGCCCGGGAGCCGUGGGAAGCCUGCGUGGGACCCGCAGACCCCUGUCCAGGGAACCACGUGACAUGCACAGCAGCGGGUCCCGAACUGUCCUCAGCACCAUGGCAACCAGGAGCAAGGUUUCUCAGCAGCCUGGGAGGCUGGUCCUUCAGCAAACAUCAGACUACAAGACCCACAGAAGAGCAAAGAAACUUCAAAGGGGAAGACAUACUUGCGUGCCCAGACCACAACACAAGUAUGUUUAUUUCUGUUUGUUUCCUUCAAGGUUUUAUGAAUAUUUGUACCCAGUUUUACACAGCGGCCAUACAAUGUGGGUGACUUACUCUGCCUACCGAGUCAUUUGUUUAGCAGACCUGUACUGAGCACCUGGCAUGUGUGCCGCACUUGUGAGCUCCUGUGGGAACAUCAGAAAAAUACAACACACGCGCCCACCCAGGGGUGGCCAGCAAGGAACCAGGGUGCUUGCCACCCCGCAGCUCUCUACCUCCUGUGUGAGCUCAGUUCACAACGGUGCAGCAGCAGAGACAGAGGAGGCCAAGCUGGGCUCCAAGGUGCAGGUGCAAUGGCAGCACUGCACGGACACUGAGAGCCCAUUUCUGAGGCUUCGGUGGCUCCUCGAGGCUGAAGAGCCACCUGUCACGGCCCCGCCCAGUACUGCCCUCGCCCUUCACGCAGGCUGGGCUGUCAUUACUCCCAGCUUCCGGGGUGUGGGUGACACAGAAGGGAGGGAGGGUGGCAGCUGCUGAAGAGGAAAUGUGCCAGGUUGUGCCUCAGAGGGGGCCAGCGACAGCAUGAGGCAGAGGGCAAAGCUGGGCGCUGGGGCCCACACGGCCCCUGUGGGCAUUGACAAAUCUCAUUUAACCGUAUGAAAAUGAUUGACUGACACUGCUGUUACCACGCCUAGUGUGUGACACACCACUUAAAUUAGGUCCUGUUCCUUCCAUGUAGUUCCAUGUGAACACACUCUUUCCCCCUGAUCAUCUCUGCGUCUCCAUCUGUAACACGGGACGGCGGCUGUGGGGCCCAUGAGGGGCGGGCUGUGUGCGGAACAGCAGUCCGGCCAGAGUACAGAGAACCAGAAGCGGUCAGUUCUGGUGGCAUUUCACGCUCUGCCCCCAGGGCUUUUCCUCCCACACCCUCUGAGUGACAGCCUGGACCUGGCUUUCAGUGGGGGAGAACCAGGGAGGCAGACACAGCCCCAGGAUCUCAGGAUGCCAUCAGUGUGGCUCCCUGGCCAGGCCUCCACCCCCCUAAACAUGACGUGGUGCUUCUUCAGUCCUUCUCUGGGGUGCUUGCAGGGAGGCCUCGGUGACCUGAGGUGACGGGGGCCCAUGUUCGCACUGAGAUCCCCUCUGGAGGAAGAAAUGCCCCCGACGACACCAGGCGCGCAGAACCACCUGUGAGAGAAGCCGCACAGAGGCAGCCUCCACCCCUUCCUUCGACAGGCAGACGCUGAGCACACUCUGCUCAGCAACAGAUGGCCACAGGCUCCUGACACACGACCCCGGCCGGCCUCAGGCUGAGAGGAAAGCCUGUCACACACACCGCAUGACUCCAUUUACACAGCAUUCUUAGAACAACAAAUUGUAGAGAUGGAGAGUGGACGGUGGGGGCCAGGGAAGAGGGGAGGUGGCUGUGGCUGUGACGAGUCCACAGGAGGGCCCCUGUUGGACAGAGAUGUUCCAUCUUGGCAGUGGUGGUGGCCACACGAAUCCAUACGUGUGCUAGAAUUGCACAGAUCAAGACAUGCACACGAAUGCAUGUAGAACCAGUGUGAGCUGAGUGAGAUGGGUGGGCUGAGUCUGUGUGGUCUCCCAGCUGUGAUCUGAUACCACAGUCACCGCAGCCCUGCAAGAUGCCACCACUGAAGGACACCGGGUAGAGGGCACACGGCAUCUCUGUGUUAGUCCUUAUGAUUGCAUGCAGAACUGCAAUUAUCUAAAAAUAAAAAUGUUUUUAAAAGACCGUAGGGUGGACCUGCUGUUCCUGCUGCACCUGCACAUGGGCCGCAUCCUCUCCUAGGAGGCUGCAAUGUGGCUACCCACAGGAAGGGCGCGACCUCGUGUUUACUCACCUUGCCCUUCGAGGAACCAACCCUUGUUGUUGUGAGAGGAAGCCGAGGCCAGAAGAAACCUCAAGGUCCCCCUCGCAAGCACCGUGGAGGACACCCAACCGCAGCCCUGAAGGUGCGACUGGCACCUGCAGCCCCAGGAGCCGCAGGGCAGGCUGGGCCACGCUGGGCCCUCCUCUCCAGCGUCUCCUCCUGACUCUCCUCAGCCUCCAGGCCUCGUGGAGCUGCAUCUCCCUCAGGAAGUGGCCCAGCCGAGCUCUCGACUCUGGGACUUUGGUCCUGUUGACAGGGGUGGAGCCCUCCUGACUGCCUCUCAAACCAGCAUCGGGCAGAAGAGCAGCUUCCAGCUUCCAGAACGGCUCCAACUUCCUAUUAAAAGACCCACAAAACUCAGAGCGUCUGCACCACGGGGACCAGCAGCCUCAACACAGCCCCGCUCUCUCCAGCCGGUUGUUAAGCCUUUCCCAGCAGGCAGCUGGUUGCGACCUGCAGUGUGAAAUGCCCUGUUCUGGUUGAUGCCCCUCACCUGUCUCACCCACCUUUGUCUUUAGGUGAAGAGACUAAAGCGAGGUUGGGGAGAGCCUGGGACCCAGGACGAGUUGGGGUCCAGCUGGGAGAGGUACCCUGUCUUCUGAGUCUGGGUCCAAUGCUGUCACACCCACAAAGUGCCCCCUGCCACCUCUCCCUCCCUGGAGGUGAGGACUGUCUGUACAUAGCGGGCGUGAGGCUCCAGGGCUGGAGGCAGAACCCUGCCUUCUGGGCUGUGGCCCUCCAGAGAUGUGGACAUGGGGCAGGCGCCUGCUCCAGGCCCGUUCACUCUCCCGCACAGCCCAGGACCCACGCAGCCCAACGCUGGUCUGCUUGGUCGAGCAACUGGUGCUCAGCUGGGCGGGUCUGGGCCAGGGCAGGCAGGGGCAGGGAUCCGGCCAGCUCUGGGGAGCUGUGGGGUCAUGGUUUCUGCCCGUUCUGCUGGUGGGCGUGCUUCCCCUACACUCACGCAGGGUACCUUGUGUCGGAGGCAGGGGAAGAGUCGAGGGUGCACGCAGGAACAGGAGCCCUCAGGGCCGUUCCUCCCAGGCCGUCCGGUGGAGCAUCUGAUGGGAACUGCUUGCAGUCCGUGUGGCCGCACGCAAGGCCCUCGCUUCCUGGACAAAGUGCCUGUGAGCAGCCUUCCAAAGCGCUACUUUCCCAACACCAGUUUCAGUCACUGCGAAGCGACAUCACGGGAAGUUCGAGGAAGGCCCGAUGCUCCUGCCUCUCUCCGCGCACGCCAUCGUCACGUCGUGAUGGAGGUGCUGACAACAGGACUCCACCCCUCCCUCCAGAACACCGUGUCCCUCCACAUUUCACUGUGUGGGCACGGAGGCCCCGCAGGUUUGCCCUGGGCCAUGGGACCGCCCAGCUGGGCCCCGUGGGCUCCUGUGUAUGUGAGGGGACCAGGUAAAGGAGGCCACAGUCUCACACCCCAUCAGAGCCCCCUGCAUCGUUCAGGUCACACGACAGCAGGCACAAUUAGGGGCCCUCUUUCCCCUGGAGGAAGCACCGUGCGAGCAGCAAUGUGCCCCUAAUGAGGACAUGGCCCUGACGACGCCAGCACAGACAAGGCCCAUCACCCUGUGGUCCAGCCUUCAUCUCUGCCUCUCCUACUCGAUGGACCGCGGCAGAGACAGCAGCUUCGAGCAGCCUGGGCAGGAGGAGGAAAGGCGGCUGGAGGACCCGUCAGACAGACGGGCCCUGGGCUGAAACGUACUUUGGACUCCCGGCUGGAUUAUCAUCUGCAAUUCUAGCUAAACUCUGGCUUAUGCGGUCGGAGGGACUCAGAAUAUAAAUUUAUGGAGAUAAAGUCGCUAACUCCUGGGAUGUCCCCUGAUCCUACACCCACUCUGAAGCUACCUUUGAAGUAAAGAUGUGGAGUCGUAGGAGAGGUCUCCGUCUCAUUAAGGUGGUUCUUUAAAACCAGAUUUCUAUUUCACCAGGCUAGAAGUGUAGGGCCAAUCAGAGCGUGGUGAGCAGGACCCACCACCACGGGAAUGACCUCUAUUCCUUACUCCGCAGGGAGAGCCGCCUUCUGGGACCUGGACUCAGGCAUGCGACUGCUCUGCUCACACCCCGGACUGGAGUCGGUCUAAAAUCCCAAACCCCACCAUGCAAACAAGCCCCUGUGUGAUCCAGCUCUGCUAUCCUCCGACCUUGCCUCCCACCUGUAUGUUUCUCACCCUCCAGGCCCCUGGGCCUCCUUGCUGGUCUCUGCCCUGGAUGGUUCUGCCCAGGACACGCACCUGUUGCUCUCUUCUUCCUUUGGGACUUUGCUCCAGUGACGCUUGUCAGGGACGUUUCUCUGAAUACCUUACAUCAAAUAACUGUCCUCCCCUCCUCCCUCACCCUCUGUCUCUUCCCUCUGCUUUGGUCCUCUUCGUAGCAUUUAUCGCUACCUGACCUGUGCUAUGCAUAAUCAAUUGCUAAUUGUCUGUCUCUCCUGACUUGGUGGAGUCAAGAUACCUAUCUAGGACUCUGAACCAUAAACAGAACACUCAUCUGCAUCCAGAUGAUGCUUUUAUAGUUUUUUUCUUUUUCUCAAAUCCUUGAGAAUCUGCUCCGUGGAUCCUACUACGUGCAUCUACCUAGUAGUAAGAAUGGCAGCGUUGGCGGUGGUGGCCACUGCACCUGCUGUUAGCUGCACCAGGCUGGGACGUCACUCUCCCUCGCUGGACUCUCCCAGCAAGGAGUUACAUUCCAUACAAGCCCUGCUUCAUGUAAGCGCAGAAGCAGAGGUUCGGUUACUUUCCCAAAGCCGCACAGCGAGUCUCUGAGCUUUUAAGCAGCAGUUCUUCAUUGUAAAAGGAAAAAGUCCAGUCUCCACUGGCACCUUUCCACUCACUCCGAGAAUCCAAAGUCAGGCUUUUUGAACCUCGUUCACUGUAGUUUUUAAACUACGGCGAAUACAACUCUGAAGACAGAAAGGACUGAAACUCAGGCUGCUGGGUCCUGAGCCCAGCUUCCAGAGUGAGCAACGCCUGCUGGGUCUAUAGGCCACCCGGACGGGAGUGAGAGCCUGAGCUGGUGACUCAGCCGUCGCUUCCUUCCUGCUUUUGGAGGAGGGCUUCCCGCAAGGGGCGCAGGGAGGAUAGCAGCUCCAGCCGCCUCAGGCCGGUUCCAGAGCCAUUGGGCAAGCCCUCCACUCCUGGUCAAUGGCCAAGGCCCACUGUGAGCAGAGUGUCCAGGAUCCCGGGACUUCCCGUCGGGGGUUGGCAGGUGUUCAGGAGAUGGGAAGCCGCCAGCACCAUUUCUGAACCAACCCGGUGGGAACCUUCUGGUGGAUUUCCCCAAAUUCCUUUCCAGCCCUCAACGCUGAGUUUAAAAAGGCAGUUGAGAAGUCCAGGCAGGAAACACACAGAUUGAUUUUCUUUAACUCUUAAGUGGGUUUAAGGCAGAGAGCUGAGAAAAGUAAGCAGAAGCAACUGCUCGAGCUCAGAACAAGAAUCUGGCGUUGACAUUUUGUUCCUGGCUCUAUCUUGACUUGCUAAGUGUGUGUUAGCGUCGUCUGUGUCUUGGUUUCCCAUGAAAUAAUCAGAAAUACAAAGAACGACUGUAGGGUAUUUUGAAAUCCCGUUUCAAAAGGACAGUGUUUGGUUCUUCUUUUUUGAGACGAUCUUGUACUUUCGUUUCAUCUUUGUUUUCAUUUUUUUGUUCUUCUCUAAACUAAAUGCCAGCGUUUAAACUAUGUAUAAACAGGCACGAUUGUGUAAUUAUCAGCACGAAACUCUCUCAAGAUAGACUCAGAUAUUCAAAGGCUUUUGCACUAACAGAAUUGUUUUAAACUCUCGACCAUGUUCACAAUGCCCUUGAAAGCCUGGCUUUUCUAUGAGACUUUCAGAGCUAAUUGGCAAGGCCCAGCACAACCCAGGGCACUGGUGAGGAUGGCCAGCUAUAUUUAACUUCCUGGGACGAUAGUGAAAUGCUUCAUUCCUGGCUAAGUUCUGAGACAAGUUACAAGACAAUCUAUUCAAAACUCUGAGAGGCCCUCGUCACUGCUAAUCCCAAUGCCCACUUGUCUCCAGAAUCUGGGAAACAGCCAGAGUAGCCGAGGUUUCCCAGGGUCAGUGCACAGCAGGCACCGGGUACAUUCCAUGUGAGGUGGGACUCGCACAGUUUCCAUCUGGCUUGAUGGGCUGCUGUGACCGACUAGGUUUCCUUCGUUGGCUUGUGGGAGAGGUCGGGGCUCAGGGCCCAUGUCGCCUCCAUUCUGCUGCCCGCAGCUCAUGCUCAGAGUGGCCCCACAACCAUUGGUCCUACUGCUUUUGCUAAAGAUCCCCAAGACUACAGACAGUCACACAUGGGAGUUGCCAAGUCGAUACCACGUGGGGCAAUUUCUCAGGUAGCAGAAAACUUACACUGUGUGCUUUUUCUUCUAAGGCAACUGUGAAAUAAUGGGGCUAUAACAAAAAUUUAUAGGGUCACUGUUUUUACUUUGCCUCCAGUUUUCUCCUUAAGAAAUAGAAGGAGAUUGCAGUUUUGGUUACACACACUCAUCACUAAAUUGUUGUAUUUUCUUCUCAGUCUCGUGAAGGCAUCUCAUAGACUUUCACCAGGAUGGAUGAUGUUGGCAUAGCACCACAAAGCACAGUGAGUGAAAAACGUGAUGGAGGAAACAGGUGCUGAAUUUCAGAAUGUCACCCCUUUUUUUUUCCUCCUCAAAAAAUCUGUGCUUACUAGUCUCAGUGUUACUGGAGCACAAGCGAGUAUGCUUUCUAAUUUCACACGACUGCACCCAACUACUAAUUAUGCCCAUUACCAGUUCUCUUCAUCACUGCUGAAGGCAUAAUUUGACUGCAAGUGCUUUGCAGAUAAUGACACCUUGUGUUCCAGUAGCUGAGUCAACGCUUGGGUUUCCUCAGAUUUCUAACAGGGGUGAUUAGCAAGUGCCACCUGCUGGAAAUCAGGACGAUGUCCCCACGUGCAAGGAGGAGCCAGGAAGGCCCUCUUCAGAGGAGCCCUCACAAAGAGGCCCCUGAGUCUGGGCAGGCCUGGGGCUGAGUCGGACCCCCCUCGCCUGGGGAGCUGGUGGUCAGACCACAGGUCCACUGGCCAGCGGGAGCUGUUCCAGAUCUCACCCAGCCGCUGGGUCACACAGGUGACUGCUCAGCUCGAGUCCUCCCUGGGCCCUCACCAACUGGCCUGGACCCCACACCUCCUGGACUGGGGCUCAACCCUCAGCAGCAUCGUCAUGGCUGAAGGGCCAGUUGAAAGCAGCUGACGGGUCCACUCCCCGAGGCUCUGAUUCAGCGGGUCCAUGGCAGAAUUCACCCAGAAUUUGCUUUUCUAUCAAAUUCCCAAAUGAUGUUUCCCUGUUGUUCCCGGAAUGGAGUCUACCAGAGACGAUGGGGUUCUGGGAACAUGGCACUUCAGUUCAAAGACGGGGCAAACCGGACAGGUCGUUUCCCUGGGGACUGCACUCUGAGAACCCUGACCUGAAAGAUCUACCCCAUGAUGGAGUCAUACUUCUGAUACUAAUUGUUGAGAAUUUUGUAUUUUUAUUGCAGACUUCCUCCUCUGAGAUGUAAAUGCACGAGGGAGGUAAGGGAAUACCUAAGUCCCAAACACCUAAUCUGGAUUUGUUUACAAGAAAUUUUCUUUUAUAAAGAGAAAUUUUCAAAGAGGUAGCCAUUCAAAUAGGAAAAAAAACUUCAAGAGAUCAUUGUGCAUCCGAGCUAGAGGCGAGUUUUAUAUGUUUCUUUAGGUCUUAGCUCUAAACUUUAUAAAAGGUUGUGUUCUUCUCUCAUGUCAGUACGCAGAACCGUUUCCACAUCCUGAUUUUAUGCACCAAACAGCUCCAGCUUUGUUCAUUAAAUUUUUAACAAAACCUCUCAAUCAGUUAUAUAACAGCCCCGCACACCUAGGGCUUAACGUGGCUGCAUCAUGGUCCUGGUUCUGAGGCUGGCGGGCGGUUGUCCUGGUGGCUGGGGCUGGUAGUCUCACUGGUGUGCAUGGAGUGGCCAGUGGCUCCUGCCUCUCGCUCAUGUAUUCUCAGGCCAGCAAACAGGCUUCUUCACGCGGUGGUGAGAUGUGCCCUACAGCAAGAGCAGCAACCCCAAGAUCGUGCACUCGUCAAGCAUCUGCUCAUGUCCCAUUGGUCAAACAAGCCAAGUGGCCGUGCCCAGCAACAGCAUGCAGAGGGCCCACAGGCUCAGAAGCUUGCCAGCAUGCAGGCUGAUCAAUCUCACUGUUUUUUUCAACAAAAUCUCAUUGUUUCUGAAUUGUCUUUAUAGUAACCUGUGAGAAAUAGGAACGGCUGACUGGGAGAGCCUCACCAAGUGUCCUGCUGACAAGUCUUCUCAAGCUCCAGAUUGUGGGGGCCAGCCGGCUUGCCCAGGGCUGUCCCAGUUCCAGCAUCCAAAGAAACCCCUUGGUCCUGGGCAGACUGAGAUAGCUGGUCACCCUAGAAUCCCCCAUGAGAUCUGAGACACUGCCACCCAUUUCACAGUUGAGGCUGUCAUGAUUGGGAGCUCACGGCAGCUCCUGGAGGUCACACAUGCACCUGGCACAAAAUUUAAACAGUACAGGAGGUGGAUGAAGACCAGCAGAGCCUUCGCUCACCCCAUGCCCUAGCUCAAACGGCGUUGAGUUGUCUCAGCACCACAAGUGGACUAAUCUUUUCAAGACGGCCUGAAGUCACUUUUAUCUGCAGAUUCCGCUGGGAACCUCAGUGAGACGCUGAGCUUUCUAAGAUGCUAACUCAUCUGCUUCUGGACCAGCACUACCACCACCACCAGGAGGACUUUCAACCAGUAUUUGUGUGGCUCUUUUGAUUUUUACAUGUCUAAUAAAAAAAUAAGCCGGAAAUGUGGAUGUUAUUUCAGGACCAUUUCCCCAGGAUGCUUUGCACAUCUUUCCAUGUAAACCCUCCGAGUCCCUCUGUCUCAGGCCUGUGCCUGCACACCCUCCGAGUCCCUCUGUCUCAGGCCUGUGCCUGCACACCCUCCGAGUCCCUCUGUCUCAGGCCUGUGCCUGCACACCCUCCGAGUCCCUCUGUCUCAGGUCUGUGCCUGCACACCCUCUGAUCCCUGUGUCUCAGGUCUCUGCCUUCACACCCUCUGAGUCCCUCUGUCUCAGGCCUGUGCCUGCACACCCUCCGAGUCCCUCUGUCUCAGGCCUGUGCCUGCACGCCCUCCGAGUCCCUGUGUCUCAGGUCUGUGCCUACACACCCUCUGAUCCCUGUGUCUCAGGUCUGUGCCUGCACGCCCUCUGAUCCCUGUGUCUCAGGUCUGUGCCUGCACGCCCUCUGAUCCCUGUGUCUCAGGUCUCUGCCUUCACACCCUCUGAGUCCCUCUGUCUCAGGCCUGUGCCUGCACGCCCUCCGAGUCCCUCUGUCUCAGGCCUGUGCCUGCACACCCUCCGAGUCCCUCUGUCUCAGGUCUGUGCCUGCACGCCCUCUGAUCCCUGUGUCUCAGGUCUCUGCCUUCACACCCUCUGAGUCCCUCUGUCUCAGGCCUGUGCCUGCACACCCUCCGAGUCCCUCUGUCUCAGGCCUGUGCCUGCACGCCCUCCGAGUCCCUGUGUCUCAGGCCUGUGCCUGCACACCCUCCGAGUCCCUCUGUCUCAGGCCUGUGCCUGCACACCCUCCGAGUCCCUCUGUCUCAGGCCUGUGCCUGCACGCCCUCUGAGUCCCUCUGUCUCAGGCCUGUGCCUGCACACCCUCCGAGUCCCUGUGUCUCAGGCCUGUGCCUGCACACCCUCCGAGUCCCUCUGUCUCAGGCCUGUGCCUGCACGCCCUCCGAGUCCCUCUGUCUCAGGCCUGUGCCUACACACCCUCCGAGUCCCUCUGUCUCAGGCCUGUGCCUGCACACCCUCUGAUCCCUCUGUCUUAGGUCUGUUCCACACACAGGGUGUGCUGCAUUUCGCGUUGUCAUUCAUCCUGACAGUCUCUUUUUUUCAUAGGUGAGCUGAGCUGACGUAUGGGCAUUUACUGAUACAAAGUCACAGUUGGUCUUAGUUUUGUUGUCUUAUUUCAUGUUACAGUUCUGGGUUGUAGUUAUUUCUCCUUAAAGAAACUGCUGUGUCUUCCCUCGUGUGCUGUGUGUGUUUCUUAAUUUGGAAGCGAGAUAUUUUGUUUCAGGUGAUAUUUUUGGUGACAGUUUUCCUUCCCUUCCAGAUCACAUUUUUCUUUUUCUUCUGCUGUGUGUUUUACUCAUUCCUUUCCCUUUAUUUCAUUUUUGUGGUCUUCCUGUCUCUCUGUAUGGAUCCUGUGCUCCUUUCUUUCUAUUUAUGACUAACCCUCAAGUCUGGGGAAUCCUCUCCGGACAGCUAUGGGAGGAGGGUCACGUGGGGCCCAGGGCCCUGCCCCCUCACCCAUCUCCCAGGAGACUGCGGGUGGGAAUGAGACCGGGGGUGGGUGUGAGCUGGGGUGGAUAUGAGGCAGGGUGGGUGUGAGGCGAGGUCUGUCUGAGGCAGGGUGCGCUUGAGGCUGGGGGCAUGAGGCCGGGGCAUACGUGAAGCAGGAGCAGGUGUGAGGCGGGGUCGGUGUGUAUUGGGGAUCAGCGUGAGGCAGGGGCUUGCGGGGGGCGUGAGGUGGGGUGCGUGUGAGGUGGGGGGAGGCGUGAGGCGGGGUCAGUGUGUACUGGGGGUGUGCGUGAGGCAUGGGUCGUGUGUAUUGGGGGUCGGUGUGAGGCUGGAGGAAGCGUGAGGUGGGGUCCGUGUGUAUUGGGGGUGCGCACGAGGCGGGGACGUGAGGCGGGGUCGGUGUGAUCCUGGAGGAGGCGUGAAGCGGGGUCCGUGUGUACUGGGGGUGCGCGUGAGGUGGGGGUGUGUGCGAGGCAGGGAGCAUGAGGAGAGGUCAGUGUGUAUUGGGGGUCGUUGUGAGGCUGGGGGAGGCGUGAGGCGGGGUCAGUGUGUAUUGGGGGUGCGUGUGAGGUGGGGCACGCGUGUGUCUCCCCCUCUGCCCUGCCAGUGGCCUGUCUGGGCUCAAGCUGUUUCCCUCCUGCCUCUCAGCCCCAGUGCCCACACCCGUGGGUGCGCUUUCCCGGGGCACGUGGCGCUUACCCAGAGGCUUUGACUCCAGCGUCCUGGGGUCUCUGAGUGAGUGUGGGCUCGCCUGUGCUCUGCGGGUGCAGCGCGUUCCCACUGGCGGCAGUCCUGGUGCUCCGUCUCCCUGUGCCCUUCAUCUCUAGGUAGGAGGAUGCUCUGCAGCCUGAGUAAAACCGCGGCCUCACUAAGGUGCAUAUCACCACACUGGAAAUAGGAAGGGAAGGACAGUCUCUUGCUGACCGAAGGCCGUCCCCACCUGCAUGUUUCAGCCCAAUGGCUCCACCCGAUUGGGAAGAAUUGUGCUGACUCCUUGUGCAAUUCACUGACGUCUUUUAAAAUUAGGUAUCACCGCAAAUUAUUAUUCCAUGCUCAUGGGCAAACGUCACAUGUAUUAGCGUGUUGUUAACGUGAAUGUUUAAGAUGCCAGCUGUGCACCAUUGGGCACUGUGGUUUUUUUGUAGUUUCCAUGUGUUCCAGGACAUUCUCUUUAAACAAAAUUAAGCACAACACAAGAGGAGCUGCUGGGGUCGAGUGUGGGGGCACUCGUCCACCCUCUGGGCCUCACACCUUCUGGUCCCACCCACCACCCUCUGGGCACAACCCGGUGGAGAAAACAUGCCAGGUGUGAACCACGAGCUCGUUCCAAAAGGGUGUCUGUAAGUAGAUCUCUCUCUGACAGAUGACGACAGAAUCCAUGGAGGGGGAAGUAGCUCCAAUAAGUCCCCGGGUUUAGUGGCGCCUGACGCUGAUGUGACUGUGCGGUGGGUGGGUGGGGCACUGAUGGAAAAGAAAAGAAAUCGAAAUUCCAGAGAGAACAUGACUGAGUCUCCCCAAGGCCCUGGGCUCUGACCUCCAGCUUCUCUGCAUUUUCCCGCAGACGAGCCCAUGGUGCAGGCGGUUGGAGAUCCUGCAGAGGUUGGGGGAGUGGGCUGGGAACAGCAGUGAGCAAGAGAGAUUUCCAAAACCUUAAUCAGCAUGGUCUCAGUAAAGCCUGGAGGCUGGCCCCUGACCGGAGAGUCCAGUGAGCGUCAGCUGUCAGGGCACUCGCCCAGCGAGGACACACAGGAAGGAAUGGAGGACACCGCAGCCCAACCAGCCCCAUGCCCUACUCACCUUCCCAGGCCACAGGGUUAGUGACCCUCAGGAAUGGAUACCCGUCGCCUGCAUCUCACUACCUCUGGGAAACAACAGCUUGUCCUCAACUAAAGACCUGAUCAAACCUUCAACUUUCAUGAACCAAGAUGUCUGUGUGUGUCUGCAGAAGAAGGGGAUUGUUACCAUGGAAACCCAGCACGGAUAUUUCACCAAGAAAUCACAGACACAGAGGCGUACACAGAGGGGACCGUCGGACCAAGAAUCGGAAUACAUGGGGUCCAGCUGUGCUUCUGCUCCAACUGGGCGAACCUUGUAAGAUUGAAACGAUUUUUUUUCUACUUAUCAGAUCUAGGUGCUGUUUUGACAACAAUCACUUCUAGUUUUAAAGAUUAAGCAACCCAAGGGGCCGGCCCUGUGGCUGAGCAGUUAAAGUUCCACACCCUCCACUUCUGUGGCCGGGUUCACAGAUUUGGAUCCCGGAUUCAGACUUGCUCCACUCAUUGGCCGUGCUGUGGAGGCAUCCCACGUACAAAGUAGAGGAGGAUUGGCACAGAUGUUAGCUCAGGGCUUAUAUUCCUCAUUAAAACAAAAGAAGAGGAUUGGCAAUGCAUGUUAACUCAGGGCAAAUCUUCCUCCCCAAAAAUAAAAAAAUUAAGUAACCCAAGAGUGUCUCUGGCCCAAAGGUCAGAUGGCUGCAGAAUGCUUCUCUGAUAUUUGAGACUCAGUUUUGUCCUGGGAGAAAUAUGCUUUAAGAACUCACCAACUUACUAUUAGUGAAGUGAUAACUAGUAGAAAAGAGGUUACAAGGUCUUAGGGGGGAGAUGAGGGCCCUAUUUUUCACGUAACCAUAGCUUAUAACUAGAAACCAACAUGAUUGGGUCUUGUCUGAGGAACGCGCUAUCAUUUCCAGAUCUGAGCUAAGUGAUGGCUGUCCAGUGACCCAGGCUCGACCGAGCGCUCUUACUCUAGGAAUUGCAAAGCCCUUUGAAAAUUCCUCAGGUGGCAACGUGGACCUAAAGAUCUUGCCAAUAGCUCUUGGUUUUCCAGUGGUGACAUGACAUAAGGAAGGGCAGUCAACUGGACACUGCAGGCUGUUCUGUCAAGGAAGGCCGCCACCUCUGUUUUCUCCUGGGAAGAUGACAUCACCAGUGCGUGAAACUAGGAGGAAACAGACGUCAGUUUACCUUAUGGUCCUUGACUCUCCUGGUUAGUAUCCGUCCACUCUGGACAGCUCAAGCCAGAAGAGGAAUCUAUAGGGAGAUUCCGGAUCUGUCAUAAACCCAAAGGAAACCGGGCUUCUUGUGGGUCUGAGCCGGCGCCUGGAAAGCACAGGAGCCCACCUGCCUCUGGCUGCAGCUUCUCAGCGCCUCCCUUCCCGUCCUUCAGUCUCCUCUUCCCUGCCUCUGUGCCCACGAGGUGGAAGGUGCCGCCUCAUCUCCCGAGGUUUUGUGGGUGCCUUGGCAGCAGCACAGGUGGAGACAGGCUAGCUGAGUCCAAAUAUGAACUCCAGUUUCUCAAGAGACCAUUUAUCGAUCCAGUCAGGUGGGCCCAGCCGAGGGCGAGGGUGGGGCCUCGUGUGGCAAGAACUUGGCAGCGGGGGGCAGGUCUAGGGAGCUGGGCAGGCACCCCAAAGGUCUCAUUUAUAUAACGCAAUGGGAAGAGAGCAGGUGACGAGAUCUCUCUGCAGCUCUGGGAAGCCCACGUCCUAAGAGGCCCGGGCCCAGGGAACUGUGUUCCCUCCAGCAGCCCCGUCGACCUCCCCGAGACAGCUUCCUUGCUGAGAGUAUGAGACUGGACUGGUGCUAAAUCUACCCGUGCCUCUCAGUCACUGCUUUCUGCUUCCACAUUGUUCACACAAUCGCUUUCACUGAUGCAAGUGCUGCUUCAUGGGGGAAGGGUGGAUGCCAAGCGACUGUGUUGGGGAAGCGGGCGGGGAUGGUCUUCGAGGGACAACCAGGACUGGGAGGCUUGCCAGUGUCUUCUGUGGAGGGCGUGGGUGCCAUCUGAACUCUACCCCCAGAGUCUGAUCCACGUGGGGACCUCCCCUCCCUGCCCCCACUCCCACUGUGAACUCCACUCAGGUGAUGCUCACUCGUCACGAAAGGAGUAGUUACAUAAACCCAAGUUUAGCCCAAGGGAGGGGGCACGAAAGGGGUGUCAUGACAACGUGACUUCAUUUGGCAGAAUUAGAAUCAAAAGGUAAAGUUAUGAAAAGGGGAAGUUCAGAUCUCUUCAAUUUUCCCUGAAUCCAAGUUGCUCUAAAUUGAAUGUGCUUCUCCUGGAGUCUGAACCCUCAUCCCUGCAGCUGUUUGUGUCUCAGAGCCUGUGAAUCGAGGACAACGGAAGACGACAGCACCCAGCUCCUCCGUCCGUCCUGAGACCCGGGGGCUCUGUUGUGCUCCUCCCUGUGGUCUCACUCGCCUCUGUGACAGGUCUGAGGUGCCGGGUCCCUGCGUCUCCCCUGUGAGGGCGCUGAGGUCCGGAUGGGGAGUCACACACCCAGAGACAGAGUCAAGAGGGCGGAGCUGGGGUCCAAGCCUGCGUUCCAGACUCCCAGCCCGGGACUCUGCCGCCUGCCGCCUGCCGCGCUGCGGAGCGAGAGCUCUUCCUGCCGCCAGGUGCCCCGGCACACACUCUGCUUCCAUACAAUCCCGCCGGUAGAAAGGAUGCUGAGCACCAACAAAAAAAUAAUUUGUUUGGGUCCUGGGUUUAUCUUUCCCAUCGGUUUUGGUAACUUUGGCCCAAACUCCCAGAAGCAUAGUUUGUGUGAGUGGUUUCCCUCUCUGUGGCUUCUGUGAAUUUCCAAUCUUCCUACCUCCCGGGCCCCUAGUCCCCGCUGCCAUGUCUGUAACGCCUCCUCAGUUUAGUCUUGAACUACCAGGCACACACUACAGUUUCCCCCAAGGAAAUUCACUUGCAAUCUGGUUUUGAGAAGUCAGUAACUUUACUGAGGACUGGGCAGUACACAGCACAUGGCCAUCCGCCAGCUUCCUGGCUUGCCCUCCGUGUCCUCCGUCUUCUCGACCGCCAUCCUCACGGCCCCGUCCACCCGACACAGACCCUUUCAAAGGGUGGACAGACCUUUCACUCCAGCUGCCUUGCUCAUGGGCACAGACCCUCAGGCCAAUCUGCCCUUCCUGCCUGCCAGGGGUUAGCAAUAAUAAUUAAUAAUAGUCUCCCUUUCAUCAUACACUGAAAACAGCUAUCUGUUCUGAUUUCACAAGGCUGACCUUCCAAAAAAUCUCUCUUAAAAUUAACCUUGUUGCCAUGGCUCAAUUUCACCAACUAGACGGAUUCGUGCUUCUCAGCUGGGGCCCAUCUAGCCCCUACCUCCCCAGGGGCAGUCAGCAACAUCUGGGGACAUUUGGAUGUCGCUCUGGGAGCAGGGGUUACUGCUGGCACUGUGUGUAGAGGCCAGAGUGCUGCGCACCACCCCACAACCACAGGACAGAGAACUGGCUGAGGCUGGAAACCCUGACUGAGGGUCUCUAGUGUUGCCUUGUUGGAAGCUCUUCCGAUUAGGCGAUAAGCAAUCCAAUGAGAGCCUGGGAAGGUGGGGAGCGCUGCUCUGACAGAUUGCUUUCCGCAUAAACUCCGGGGGGAUAUCUCGCUCUCUGAAACAAUGGGGGCUGGGGUGGGCGUGAGGCAUCUAGGAUGGGACAGACUGAGAAGCUUCUGCACCAGCUGUGCCAGAGCCGAGGCCUCCAGCCACUGAGCUGGGCUGAGAGGAAGCCUCAUUCCCAGCCUGCUCCUGUCCCCUGAAAACGUGCAGGGUCAGCGCCCCACGGUGACGAGCCACAGAUGAGAUGGACCUCCACAGUGGUUCCCGCCCAGGCUGCCAGCCAGCAGGCCGCGCCUCCCCCACGUGGCCUUCACUCCCCUCACGGUUCAUCUUCCGACCAGACUGUAGGAGAGGGCAUUUGUUUCCAUCACAUUUUCCCCUUUUUAUGAAGGGGAGGAUAUAGUGCCAAAAAUACUCAUGAACUGAUUCCUCGUUCUUACGAUGAGAAAAUAGUUUACUCAUUUUACAGCUGCGUCUGCAUUAAAAGGGCAGCCAGGACGGUGGGGUUGAGCCUGGAGCCUGUCCCUGCCCGGGCUCCCGAAGUGCUGGGCACCUGGAGGCCCCCACAGCACCCAUGCAGCUCACAGCACACAUGGCCUGUUUAGUUGUGCCCCCCACAGGGCCCGAUCUCAAAGGCCCUUGAGACAGAGCCGGCCCAGGGCCCGAGCCACAGCAGAGUCUCCAGGGGUCGGGUCGCACCCCCCCCCACUCCCGGCAGAUGGGGCCUGCUGGUCACCCUCCAGUGACUGUUCUCUGCUGACCCCUCUGUUCCACCAGCUCCCCGCUCCCACCCAGGGAAUGGCCCUCCCCUACAGGUGACGAGCUUCAGAGACUGCAAGGCUUGAGGACCAAGAACCAGUGAAAACAACAGCUGCUUAAAACAGACAAGGCCAGCCAGGUGGCGCAGUGGUUAAGUGUGCACGUUCCACCUCGGCGGC